CCACUCAUAGUAAGCUGACUAAAACUCUCGGCUUUUUCUCCGCCAGGCUUUGCCGGAACUUCGCCGGAAUGUGGAAGCCACGUGCCGUUCCCCGUGCUCUCUCUCUGCUUCUUCUUCUUCUUCUUCACUCGGUGCUGGCUCUGGUCUCUGCAAAAGUCACUAACAGUACCACUUGGAACACUCUCACUGGAGCUCCACCGUUGGUCAUAGCACGUGGAGGUUUUUCAGGGAUAUUUCCUGAUUCCAGUGAUUUGGCCUAUAUUUUUGCAGUAAGAACUGGUUUAAAAAAUCUCAUUGCAUGGUGUGAUGUGCAAUUAACGAAAGAUAGGCAGGGGAUCUGCUUCCCAGACAUCAAGCUUGAAAAUGCUACCGACAUUAAUUAUGCUUUUCCAAAUCGAAGUCAGACUUACCCAGUUAAUGGUGUACCAACCACGGCUUAUUUUGCUGUGGAUUAUACCCUAGAGGAUCUGCGGUCCUAUGUCGUCUUGACUCAGGGAGAUUAUUCUCGAACUAACUUGUUUGAUUACAAUUUAUUUGAAAUUCUUACUGUGAGUGACUUGGUUAAAAGAGCAGCCCCGCCAGGAUUGUGGUUGAAUAUUCAGCAUGAUUUAUUCUACACAAAACACAAUUUGAGUAUGAAAAACUACAUACUCUCUGUUUCUAGAACAGUAAAUGUUAGUUAUAUCUCAUCACCUGAAGCUGGUUUCCUGAGAAGUAUAAGGACACAGAUCAACCAAAGAAAAACAAAACUGGUCUUCAGGUUUCUGAAAAAAAAUGAUGUAGAUCCAUCAACCAGUCUCAUGUAUGGUUCACUAUUAAAAAAUCUAACAUCUAUCAAGGCAUUUGCUUCAGGAAUUCUUGUUCCCAAAGAAUACAUAUGGCCUGUACAUCCAACAAAUCUUUAUCUACUUAGCCAUACAUCUUUGGUCUCCGAUGCACACAAAGUGGGGCUGGAAGUCUUUGCUUCUGAUUUUCAGAAUGACAUUCCUAUCAGCUUUAAUUACAGUUAUGACCCUGUUGCCGAAUACCUGAAUUUCAUAGACAAUGAAAACUUCUCUGUUGAUGGUGUGCUGUCUGAUUUCCCCCUAACAUCAUCUGAAGCUAUAGACUGCUUUGCUCAUGUAGGCCUCAAUGCAACAAAGAAAGUUAAAACUUUGGUCAUCUCAAAAUAUGGAGCAAGUGGAGAUUAUCCUCCUUGUACCAACUUGGCAUAUGAAAAUUCUAUUUCAGAUGGGGCGGAUAUUCUUGAUUGUCCUGUUCAAAUGUCACAGGAUGGAAUACCAUUUUGCUUAAGGUCUAUUGAUCUUAUAGAGAGCACAAAUGUUGCUCAAACAAUUUUCAGCAACCGUAGCAAAACUAUCCCGAUCAAAUCUGGCAGUGGAAUAUUUGCAUUUGACUUGGCUUGGGAAGAUAUAAAAAACUUGACCCCCUCAAUGUUCAACCCGUAUUCCAACUACCAUUUGUUUAGGAACCAAGAAUACAACAAGCAGGGGAAAUUUUUAAGAUUGACAGAUUUCUUGAACUUGAUAAAAGGUCAGACUUCCCUAUUAGGUGCUGUGAUCAUCAUUGAGAAUGCAGACUAUCUUGCAAGGGAAAAAAACUUAAGUGUGACUGAUGCCGUUAUUGAUACUUUGAGAAAAGCAGGCUAUGAUAAACAAGGGGCUCCAAAUGUUAUGAUUCAAUCCACUAAUAGUUCAGUACUACUGAAAUUCAAGGAGAAAACCAAUUAUGAACUUGUCUACAGGAUUGAUGAGAUAGUUGGUGAUGCAGUUGAUUCAGCUAUUCGGGAUAUCAAAAGAUUUGCUCAUUCUGUGAUUCUCCAUAAGUCCUCUGUAUAUCCCCUUAACGACUUCUUCCUGACUGGCUCUACAAAGAUUGUGCCAAAGUUCAAAUCUUCUAAUAUCUCUGUUUACGUUGAAACAUUCAGCAAUGAGUUUGUAUCUUCUGCAUGGGAUUUCUUGUCAGAUUCAACCGUGGAGAUCAACACAUUUGUUCAAGAUGCUGAAAUUGAUGGUGUCAUCACAGACUUCCCAAAAACAGCUAAUAGAUACAGAAGGAACAAAUGCUUAAAUUUGGGUGAGAACACACCUCCAUACAUGAAACCAGUUCAAGUAGGUGGCCUUUUCAAACAAAUAGCCAAAUAUUCCUUGCCACCGGCUGUGGCUCCUGCCCCUGCCCUGACUGAAGAUGAAGUGACAGAACCCCCUUUGCCUUCUGUUUCUAAAAUAGCCCCAUCUAGCCCUAUUGCUGGGACUGGGCCAGUAGCACAACCACCACGAAAUGCACAGACUAAGGUCGCUGUCUGCUUCUUUAUGUCCACUCUGUCUCUGCUUGUAGCUUCUCUUCUACUUUGAGUGGUGCAGGUCUCCCAUUUCCCACUAAAUAGAAAGAAGAAAAAUUGAUAAGAAAAAGGAAGUAAAUUGUUUCCAUUCACUGUUGUAGCUUGCUACGUAUAUUCCCCCUUCUCCAAUCUCUUUCUGUUGCUGCUGUAACUAUUACGGACUGCUUUGCUCACAUAGGCCUCAAUGCAACAAAGAAAGUUGGCACUCUGGUCAUCCCAAAAUAGGGAGCAAGUGGAGAUUAUCCUCCUUGUACUGACUUGGCAUAUGAAAAGGCUAUUUCAGAUGGUGUGGAUGUUCUUCACUGUCCUGUUCAAAUGUCAAAGGAUCGAAUACCAUUUUGCUUAAGCUCUAUUGAUCUUAUUGAGAGCACAAAUGUUGCUCAAUCAAGUUUCAGCAAACUUGGCAAAAAAAAUCCCAGAGAUCAAAUUUGGCAAUGGAAUAUUUACAUUCGACUUGGUUUGGCAUGAUAUAAAAUCUUGGCCCGUAAUUCAAAUGGUC